UGUUUUUGCUUCCUCCUCAUUUUUUCUCUUGCAGCUGCCAUAUAAGAAGUGCCUUUCACCUUCCACCAUGAUUCUGAGGCCUGCCCAGCCGUGUGGAACUUUUUCUCUUGCUGCUGCCAUGUAAGAAAUGCCUUUCAUGUCCCACCAUGAUUCUGAGGCCGCCCCAGCCAAGUGGAACUCAGUGCAAGAAUGAACUAAUACAGGCAAGACCUCACUAUGUUUCCCAGACUGGUUUGGAAUUCCUGCGCUUCAAGCCAUCCUCCUGCCUCAGCCUCUCAAAGUGCUGCUGGGAUUACAGCAGUGAAUCACAGUGCCUGACCCUAAUGGUCUGAGUUUAAGCUGCCAUGUAAGAAGUGCUUUUCAUCUCCCGCCAUGAUUCUGAGGCCUCCCCAGCCAUGUGGAAUUAAGUGGCUUUCACCUCCUGCCAUGAUUCUGAGGCCUCCCCAGCCAUGCGGAACUGUAAGUCCAAUUAAACCUCCUUUUCUUCCCAGUCUCGGUUAUGUCUUUAUCAGCAGCAUUAAAAUGAACUAAUACAGAUGGUAUUUUUUUCUUUUUAAUGGAGUACCUAUGUUAAAACAAACAAGCAAACAAGAAAACCAAAAAAGGAAAAACACUUGACAAAUAGAGCUUAGAUAGGCCAUUAAGGGAAGGGUUCUCAGGCAUAAAUACCUGAUAUCGUAAACCAUAACAAAAGACUUGCAAAUACCACAACCUUGCAAAAAAGGC
rnacentral:lncRNA from 1 species